CGGCGCACAUAAGACAUGCAAGUCGAACGGAAGUCGUGUAAUGAUAGUGAAACGAACAGAGAACUUGUCAAAGGGAAUGGAGAUUGACUUACAACAAUGGCUUAGUGGCGGACUGGUGAGUAAUGUAUAAGCAACCUGCCUAUUAGAGGGGAACAACAGUUAGAAAUGACUGCUAAUACCGCAUAUGCCAUAAGGGAGACAUCUUCCAAGUGGGAAAGGAGAAAUCCGCUAAUAGAUGGGCUUAUAUCUGAUUAGUUAGUUGGUGGGGUAACGGCCUACCAAGACGGCGAUCAGUAGCCGAACUGAGAGGUUAAACGGCCACAUUGGGACUGAGAUACGGCCCAGACUCCUACGGGAGGCAGCAGUCGGGAAUAUUGCGCAAUGGAGGAAACUCUGACGCCAGUGACGCCGCGUGCAGGAAGAAGGUUUUCGGAUUGUAAACUGCUUUAGACAGGGAAGAAAAAAGACAGUACCUGUAGAAUAAGCUCCGGCUAACUACGUGCCAGCAGCAGC
rnacentral:rRNA from 1 species